rnacentral:rRNA from 1 species
CUGGUUGAUCCUGCCAGUAGUCAUAUGCUUGUCUCAAAGAUUAAGCCAUGCAAGUCUUAGUAUAAACUGUGAUACGGUGAAACUGCGAAUGGCUCAUUAAAUCAGUUAUAGUUUAUUUGAUGGUCCCCGCUGCUGGAUAACCGCAGUAAUACUGGAGCUAAUACAUGGUACGAUGCCCGACUUACGGAGGGCAGUAUUUAUUAGAUAUGUGAGCCGACAGUGUUGGUGAGUCAUGGUAAAUUGACGGACCGGGCUGAAGUGCCUGGUGGAUCAUUCAAGUUUCUGCCCUAUCAACUUUCGAUGGUACGGUAUUGGCCUACCAUGGUGACGACGGGUAACGGGGGAUUAGGGUUCGAUUCCGGAGAGGGAGCCUGAGAAAUGGCUACCACUUCCAAGGAAGGCAGCAGGCGCGCAAAUUACCCAAUCCCGACGCGGGGAGGUAGUGACAAUACGUACCGAUGCGGGGCCGCAAGGCGCUGCAAUUGGAAUGAGGACAACUCAAACCUGUUAGCGAGAAUCGAUUGGAGGGCAAGUCUGGU